AGAGUUUGAUCAUGGCUCAGGACGAACGCUGGCGGCGUGCUUAACACAUGCAAGUCGAACGGGGAUUAGUUGAUAGAGAGCUCGGCAGGAAAUUGAUUAAUUCGAGUGGCGGACGGGUGAGUAACGCGUGAGCAACCUGUCCCAGACAGGGGGAUAACACUUGGAAACAGGUGCUAAUACCGCAUAAGACCACGGGAUCACAUGGUUCCGGGGUAAAAGGAGCAAUCCGGUUUGGGUGGGCUCGCGUCCGAUUAGCCAGUUGGCGGGGUAACGGCCCACCAAAGCGACGAUCGGUAGCCGACCUGAGAGGGUGAACGGCCACAUUGGAACUGAGAGACGGUCCAAACUCCUACGGGAGGCAGCAGUGGGGAAUAUUGGGCAAUGGGCGCAAAGCCUGACCCAGCAACGCCGCGUGAAGGAAGAAGGCUUUCGGGUUGUAAACUUCUUUUAAGAGGGAAGAGCAGAAGACGGUACCUCUAGAAUAAGCCACGGCUAACUACGUGCCAGCCGCGGC
rnacentral:rRNA from 1 species